rnacentral:rRNA from 1 species
UAAGGAAUAUUGCGCAAUGGGCGAAAGCCUGACGCAGCGACGCCGCGUGGGGGAUGAAGGUCUUCGGAUUGUAAACCCCUUUCGGGAGGGAAGAUGGAGCGAGCAAUCGUUCGGACGGUACCUCCAGAAGCAGCCGCGGCCAACUUCGUGCCAGCAGCCGCGGUAAUACGAAGGUGGCAAGCGUUGUUCGGAUUCACUGGGCGUACAGGGUGUGUAGGCGGUUUGGUAAGCCUUCUGUUAAAGCUUCGGGCCCAACCCGGAAAGCGCAGAGGGUACUGCCAGGCUAGAGGGUGGGAGAGGAGCGCGGAAUUCCCGGUGUAGCGGUGAAAUGCGUAGAGAUCGGGAGGAAGGCCGGUGGCGAAGGCGGCGCUCUGGAACAUACCUGACGCUGAGACACGAAAGCGUGGGGAGCAAACAGGAUUAGAUACCCUGGUAGUCCACGCCCUAAACUAUGGAUACUAAGUGUCGGCGGGUUACCGCCGGUGCCGCAGCUAACGCAUUAAGUAUCCCGCCUGGGAAGUACGGCCGCAAGGUUG